rnacentral:rRNA from 1 species
AUUGAACGCUGGCGGCAGGCCUAACACAUGCAAGUCGAACGGAGUGGCGGACGGGUGAGUAAUGUCUGGGAAACUGCCCGAUGGAGGGGGAUCACUACUGGAAACGGUAGCUAAUACGGCAUACUAUCCGAUUAGCCUCGGUCGGAUUAGCUAGUUGGGGGGGUAAAGGCCUACCAAGGCGACGAUCCGUAACUGGUCUGAGAGGAUGAGCAGGCACACUGGAACUGAGACACGGUCCAGACUCCGACGGGAGGCAGCAGUGGGGAAUCUUGGGCAAUGGGCGAAAGCCUGAUCCAGCCAUGCCGCGUGUGUGAAGAAGGUCUUCGGAUUGUAAAGCACUUUAAGUUGGGAAGCGUUACCAACAGAGUAAGCACCGGCUAACUUCGUGCCAGCAGCCGCGGUAAUAC